GCACACUCCUUUGAAAGCACAUGAUUGCAGUCUUGAAAACCUUGAACUGUUAAAUACAGACUGACCUUGUGUUUACCAAGUAUGCAAAUGCAAACAUUAUACAUUAAUACACGUCCAGUCACGUGAUUUUCACAACCGUGUAGUUCCUGGACUGACGUCAGCACCUGCAGUCAAUGAUGGUGGAUGGAUCGAUGGUUUCAGAAAGGUAAGAAAGAACACUCAUCAGAGUGAGUGAGAUCAAGGAACUUACUGGAUUAACACUGUUGUUACAACUGUGACGACGUCAGACACCUGUAUGGAACUGAAGACUUGCUUCAUGCUUGCCCACAAUCUAUCAAAUUGAAUGCAGUUAUGGCCAGUAUAUCAAAUCGGCGUCUACAACAGGGAUAGCACUUGAUGACCCCACGGUGUUUAAAGCCACAGUCAGAACAGGUACCAGGAACUUUGUCUGGGCGCCAUGCAGAACACAUUUGCACUAGGAAUGUGCACUUCUUCUUCAGUCUUGGCAAGGCCUUUGCAAUCUUCCAGGCUGGAUGAGGUUUGAUGGAAGAAUGAAUAUUCAGAAAACGCUUCAGGUCUGGAUCUGACGACGUGCGGUGCAGCCACUUUUCCUUCACCUCUUCCUG